AUUCUCAGUUCGGAUUGUAGGCUGAAACUCGCCUACAUGAAGCUGGAGUUACUAGUAAUCGCAGAUCAGAAUGCUGCGGUGAAUGCGUUCCCGGGUCUUGUACACACCGCCCGUCACACCACGGAAGUUGGGGGCGCCCGAAGCCACUUAGCUAACCCUUUUGGGAAGCGAGUGUCGAAGGUGAAAUCAAUAACUGGGGUGAAGUCGUAACAAGGUAUC
rnacentral:rRNA from 1 species